UACGUAGGUGGCAAGCGUUAUCCGGAAUCAUUGGGCGUAAAGCGCGCGUAGGUGGCUUCGUAAGUCCGUUGUGAAAGUCAAAGGCUCAACCUUUGAAAGCCGAUGGAUACUGUGAAGCUAGAGUACGGAAGAGGCGAGUGGAAUUCCUGGUGUAGCGGUGGAAUGCGCAGAUAUCAGGAGGAACACCAAUAGCGAAGGCAGCUCGCUGGGACGUUACUGACACUGAGGCGCGAAAGCGUGGGGAGCGAACAGG
rnacentral:rRNA from 1 species